rnacentral:lncRNA from 1 species
GGAGGAGCCGUUGCGGUGACGGUAGGAGCCGCCUCGUAGGGCUGCGGUGCCGUUAGCGCCCCGGCAGCGGGAGCUGCCUCGCCGCCACGGGGUGGUGAUCGCGGCGAAGCGGGACUUCGGGCUCCCUUGGCCCUACAGCCGCCUCUUGCGCCCCUCCCCGGGCCUCUUUCCGCCGCCGCGGGGCAAGGUGACGCGCGGGCGGGCGGGGGCCUGUCCGGUUGUCUCCCGGCCGCAGGGUGCGUGGUCGCUGGCCCCCGCCGCCCUGUCCGGCUCCGCCUGCCGCAGGAGCCGUGCGGGCACGACCGCGGUGGUGAGGCGCGACUUGAUGGUGUUGCGCCGCUGUAUUUCGGCACUUCCGUCCCGCGGGCUCUCCGCUCGCUGGCAUGUAGCGCGUUGAGCUGCUGCUGGAGGCUUGGGCAAACUCUGUGUUUGCCUUCUUAUAGCUGAGUAUUAGCUGUUAGUCAUUUUGCAGGGGGGUGAUACUGUAUUUUUUCCCGUUGCAGCUACAGUGCAAGAAUGAUCAUCCCAGUGAGAUGUUUCACAUGCGGCAAAAUAGUUGGAAACAAGUGGGAAGCCUAUCUUGGCCUUCUGCAAGCAGAAUAUACAGAAGGAGAUGCCCUGGAUGCCCUUGGUUUGAAGAGAUACUGCUGCCGCAGAAUGCUCCUGGCCCAUGUGGAUCUGAUUGAGAAGCUUUUGAAUUAUGCGCCCCUGGAGAAAUGAGAUAGAUGAACAAAGUACCACACUGCAAACUACAUGGAGCGGAUCUCUAAUGCUAAACUUGAAACUGGACUUCAGGUAGUAAUGGAUGAAAGCCACCUGUCAUGCAGCCACUGGGAAAUGUUUAGCCUCUGCAGAAAAUACUGCCCUGAGACAAUAACGUCUUUCAAGGAAACAAAGGAAAGAUGAAGUCCACUUAACCAAGAUUUGGAGAUCAAGUUAAAAGUUUGGAUGCUUCUUUUUUUAAAUCUGUGUUUGGAGUUGUUUUGUGAACUUUUAGAUGCAGCUGCCAGCAAAAAUAAGUGUGUGUUCAUAUAGAGAAAUUACUAUAUUUCAUUAAAAUGUUGAAAUAAAGGAGGUCUUUCCCUGUAGGCUUCCUACAGUUUCUG